rfam:Picea glauca, whole genome shotgun sequence.
ACAUUAGAAAAGAAUGGGUAACAAAUGGAAUGGAUAGAUUGUUAAAGUGGCCAUUUGAUGGGUCCUGACCCCAAUUCUGUAGACAAACUGCAAAACUAACAUUAUAGGUUGACCAAAUCCUGACUCUUUCGAAUGGAUGCAUUUCUUAGAUUAUAAGCUCACGCGGGUUUGCCCGUUUCUCCGGUGAAUUAUGAUAACUCGAUGGAUCACAUGGCUCUUGUGCAAGCGAUGCUUCAUUCAAAUUUCUUCCCUAUCAACAUUCGAUGGUAGGAUAGAGGGCUACCAUUGUGGUGACAUGUGAUGGAGAAUUAGGGUUUGAUUCCAUAGAGCGAGCCUGAGAAACAACUACCACAUCCAACGAAGGCAGU